AUUCACUCGCAAAUACACUCACUCAUGUACAUUCACUCACUUGCAUGUACACUCAAACAUACACUCACCUAUACACUCACUCACAUGUACACUCAAUCACAUAUAAACUCAUUCACAUAUACAUUGACUCACAUGUACAAAGACAUAUACACUCACAUGUACACUCACAUGUACACUCAAUCACAUAUACACUCACCCACAUGUACACUCACUCACAUGUACACUCACCCACAUAUACACUCACUCACAUGUACACUCAGGUAUCGACUCACACACUCACUCAACCAGUCACCCAUUCAGCCUCUCACUCCACCACACGAACCUUUUGUUCCACUCAAACCGCCCAUCUCUCGAUUCCCUCCAAAACGGGAAGUUGGCUCGGCUCAUCCUGUGGAUCUAUCGUCGAAUACGCGUGAAGAAGAUUCCAUUGUCGGUGGUUACACGAGGUGGACGCGUCGGGGGGGGGGGUGGUUGCCUCCGAAGCUCAACACGUGGAUGAUGAUGAUGAUGGUGAACAAGAAGAGAUGGUCAUCGAUGUUUGAGACAACCACGGACGAAACGGGUUGCGCCACGGUGGCUGGGUGGGUGGUGGGUGGUGGUCGACAUCGUUGGAGGGAGACUCGGCCCCAAUGGGCGGAUGGAGACCGCCGAGGACGUGGAUGAGAGAAGUGGAGCGCGCACAAUCUCAGCGCUCACCAGGCCUCGAUUAAAGUGACGCGGGGUGGUGGCGCUAAUUUUCAUUCGCGUCUCCGAGCGCGUGGUGGAAAUUCCACAUUCGCAAGACAGGAGCACGUCCAUCAAUCGGCCGAUUUACUGUUGUUGUCUGAAAGUAGUAAUAAUCUAUGUGUAUAUAUGCAAAUAAAGAUAUGUAUAUAUGUU